GCUUGCUUAAAGGGGCCGUAGCUGGUCUGGUAAAUCCUUUGUGAAAUCGUUAGGCUCAACCUAAUGGCGUGCAGGGGAGACUGCUAGACUCGAGACCGGGAGGGAUUAGGGGUAUUCUGAGGGGAGCGGUAAAAUGCUAUAAUCCUCAGAGGACCACCUGUGGCGAAGGCGCCUAACCAGAACGGAUCUGACAGUGAGGGACGAAAGCUAGGGGAGCGAUCCGGAUUAGAUACCCGAGUAGUCCUAGCCGUAAACGCUGCGAGCAAGGCGUUGCACGUUCUCCGUGAAUAUGCAGUGUCGAAGAGAAGUCGUUAAGCUCGCCGCCUGGGAAGUAUGGUCGCAAGACUGAAACUUAAAGGAAUUGGCGGGGGAGCACUACGAGGGGUGCGGCGUGCGGUUUAAUCUAACUCCACGCAGAGAACCUCACCAGAGGCGACGGCAGUAUGAAAGUCAGUCUAAAGGGCUUACUUGACGAGCCGAGAGGUAGUGCAUGGCCGCCGUCAGCUCGUGUCGUAAGAUGUCCUGUUAAGUCAGGCAACGAGCGAGACCUGUACUCAUAAUUGUUAACGGCUGGCUUGCCAGGACCGAACACUUUAUGGGGACUGCCUUGGGAAACAAGGAGGAAGGUGCAGGCUACGGUAGGUCCGCAUGCCCCGAAAAGCC
rnacentral:rRNA from 1 species